AUGAUGGUUCCAUCGUGGUCGAGGUUGGAGGUGUUGAUUGGGCAAGGACUGUGGACCAAAGUACAGCAGAUGACGGUUUUCGCUUUGGGACAGUUGUGGCCUGAUGGAUGUGAAUUCCUUCUUGAUAGGAUGCGUGUUCUUCAGGCUGACACGCUGAACUUGAUCCAAGGUGGGCUCACUGCCGGUAGCACUUCGUCUGAAUCUAGUUGUGCAGCAACUCUUGAGGCCUGCAACCUGCUGGUUGGCAGAUUAAAGCCAGUCAUGGAGAAGCUCAAGCAGCAAUCGGGUGGUGGUGUUUCAUGGGAUGCUUUGAUUGCUCAGGCCGUUAAGGAUAAUGUUAAUUUAUCCUCGAGUGCAUACUGGGUACCUGGCCAAGAAUCCAGUACCUAUCUCAACUAUGGGGCUGGUGUAAGUGAGGUAGAGAUUGAUCUUCUUACAGGAACUAUUACUUCACUACGAAGCGACAUUGUGUAUGACUGUGGAAAGAGUUUGAACCCUGCAGUGGACUUGUGCCAGAUUGAAGGCUCCUUUAUACAAGGAAUUGGUUUCUUCAUAAACGAAGAACACGAAACAAACGUUGAUGGACUGGUUGUGAGUGACAGCACAUGGGUCUACAAGAUCCCGAGUGUCGACACCAUCCCGAAGCAGUUCAAUGCCGAGGUGCUCAACACCGGAUUCCACAAGAACCGUGUGCUCUCGUCGAAAGCUUGUGGGGAACCUGCCUUGGUCCUCGCAUCAUCAGUCCAUUGCGCGGUGAGAGAAGCCAUCCGAGCAGCAAGGAAGGAGUUUGGAAGCUUGCAGCUCACGUUCCAGCUCAACGUCCCUGCACCGAUGACGCUCGUGAAGGAAAUGUGUGGUUUGGACAUCGUGGAUAAGUAC
rnacentral:rRNA from 1 species